CCGACCUUAGCUCAGUUGGUAGAGCGGAAGACUGUAGUGGGUGCAAGCCUGUCAGAUAAUCUUUAGGUCGCUGGUUCGAAUCCGGCAGGUCGGA
rnacentral:tRNA from 2 species